UCAACAACUGCUACUACUAACGUAAUGGCGUCGACGCAGAAUUGAAACUAUUUGCAUAAUGAAAUAGGAAAAAUGAAGACUUACCGGUUUCACCGCGAUGUUAACAACAUGUAUCGAUUGCGCUUCUUUCUGUUUACGUACUUGGUUUGGUUUAGCUUCCGUCGCCGAUGUUUGCAGCUUCCGCUCUGCCAGUUGGUUUUUUAGAAGGGACAUAAUUAACCGACAUACGCGUCCUCUCCACUAUAUUCAUAACUUCACUCUGUUCACUACCAUACUAAAUCUGUAAGAGAGCAGAUACGUCACAGUGAAGUCCAUUGUUGUUAUCUCGGUAUCAAAGGAUUGUGGCAGGUGAUGCAAAGCCAUUCCUUGUGAGGUUUCGUUUAGUGCUCGUGAUGAUUGCAGGCAUCAGUGUUGUGAAUUAAGUCCGCAAAUUCGGGCCUUGCUGGGCUGCAGCAGGAUUUCAUGGCUUGAUGCAAUCAGAGCAAGGAAAAUUCUGAAGCCAUGGUUCGUGUAUGCAAAUUAUCAGGAUGAGAAUCCAAAACCAAACUAUAUCUCAAUGGUCUGACAGUCAUGAAAACAAUAUCCUUUUUCAAAAACCUCCCAAUUUCUAGAACAACAACCUUCCCCUCCUUAAAAUCACCGUCCUGAAACACUCUCUUACACUCAUCAACCAAUACUUUAAGCUAAUUAACCAACUGCUGCAGCAUUUCCCUCUGGUUGAAAAGAAGAAAGACAGUCAAAAACCUAACUAAGAAUCUCAAUUGUUUAUUCACGACGUUAACAUCAUGUACUGUCCGAAAUAGAACUGGCCGAUUCGAGACACGAUUUCUCUGAUUUCCCCUUACUCUAACCCAACUUCAAUUGGCUUCUGACGAUUCUCUUAUGUGUAUACUUUUGAAAACCUUAGAGAUAUACGUAUCAGGCAUGCGGCAUUGGCAGUAAGGUAAAUCUCUGAUUUUGAAGAAACUUUAUUGUCGGCUUUGUCAACGGGAGUCCAGAAAAUCUCGCUUACAGGGACGCUGCUGUUGAGAUGUUAUCAUGGUCUGCUGCAACAAAGUCACAACGUGUUGCAGGUUUUGGUAUCUGUUUGUCGUCACCGGCGGUAUGCAUCUUUUGGAGUAUUUCCUUUUGCCUUCAAGUUGUUGCACUGCCAUUUAUGUGUUUCAAAGCCCUAAAUUUGGUUUGACCAGCUGCUUGGCACACCAUAACUACUUUCCAACCCUUCAAAUAUAGAAUAACCAAAAUGUUCCAAAUACAACAAAUUGAUUCACUAAAAUCCCAACACUCCCUUAACCAGUUCAAACAGAUCUUGAAAAGAACUCACAACACAAAGGGUUAAAACAAAGUGGUGUAGCUAAAUUUUCAGCUGAUCUGGCGAACAUAACAAGGAACAACAACAAAGAAAUUGGAGCCCAUUUAAGUGAGUUAUAAGGUAUAAAAAUAUGAGAAAAUUGAAAGGGUUUUCAACAAUAAAGGGUUGAAAUUUUUUAAAGUUAGAGAAUAACUUUGCAAUAGAGAUUCAAAGAAAUAACUUUGCGAUAAACAUCAAUUGAAAGACUGAACCACCAUCGCAUGCUGUUUUAUCCUUAUCCACAAAAGAUUAAUCCACCACAAAUACUCCUUUUAGCCACAAAAUACCUACAAUAAUCAAGGGAAGAGAGAGAAG